rnacentral:rRNA from 1 species
UAGCAUAAUCAUUAGGUUUUUAAUUGGAAUCUUGUAUGAAUGAUUGGACAAAAGAAGUACUGUCUUUGUAUUGAAACUUGAAUUUAACUUUUAAGUGAAAAGGCUUAAAUAUACUAAAGGGACGAUAAGACCCUAUAAAACUUUACAUUUAUGUUAAAUUUUAUGGAAUUUGAAAUUAUAAUUAUUAAGUUUAAUUUUUUGUUAUGUUGGGGAGACAAAAGCUAUAAUUAUUUAUAACUGCUUUUAAAGGAAACAAAAAUAAAUGGGGAGAGUUAAAGAUCCUUUAUUGAGAUUGUAAGAUUAAGUUACUUUAGGGAUAACAGCGUUAUUUUUUUUUGAGAGUUCAUAUUGAAAAAAAAGAUNGCGACCUCGAUGUUGAAUUAAAAUAUCUUU